rnacentral:rRNA from 1 species
UACGUAGGGGGCUAGCGUUGUCCGGAAUCAUUGGGCGUAAAGAGCGUGUAGGCGGUCCGGUAAGUCCGCUGUGAAAGUCGGGGGCUCAACCCUCGAAUGCCGGUGGAUACUGUCGGGCUAGAGUACGGAAGAGGUGAGUGGAAUUCCUGGUGUAGCGGUGAAAUGCGCAGAUAUCAGGAGGAACACCGGUGGCGAAGGCGGAUCUCUGGGCCUUACCUGACGCUCAGGUGCGAAAGCUAGGGGAGCGAACAGG